rnacentral:rRNA from 1 species
CGGACGGGUGAGUAACGCGUGGGUAACCUGCCUCAUACAGGGGGAUAACAGUUGGAAACGACUGCUAAUACCGCAUAAGCGCACAGCUUCGCAUGAAGCGGUGUGAAAAACUCCGGUGGUACAAGAUGGACCCGCGUCUGAUUAGCUGGUUGGUGAGGUAACGGCCCACCAAGGCAACGAUCAGUAGCCGGCCUGAGAGGGUGAACGGCCACAUUGGGACUGAGACACGGCCCAA